AGAGUUCCUUUCUGGCUCAGGAUGAACGCUGGCGGCGUGCUUAACACAUGCAAGUCGAACGAAGCGUAAGAGACAGAAUACUUCGGUAGGAAGAUUUUUAUGACUGAGUGGCGGACGGGUGAGUAACGCGUGGGUAACCUGCCUCAUACAGGGGGAUAACAGUUAGAAAUGGCUGCUAAUACCGCAUAAGCCUGCUGUGCCGCAUGGCACAGCAGGGAAAACCACGGUGGUACAGGAUGGGCCCGCGUCUGAUUAGUUAGUUGGCAGGGUAACGGCCUACCAAGACAACGAUCAGUAGCCGGCUUGAGAGAGUGGACGGCCACAUUGGGACUGAGACACGGCCCAGACUCCUGCGGGAGGCAGCAGUGGGGAAUAUUGCACAAUGGGGGGAACCCUGAUGCAGCAAUGCCGCGUGGGUGAAGAAGCACUCCGGUGCGUAAAGCCCUGUCAGCAGGGAAGAAAAUGACAGUACCUGACCAAGAAGCCCCGGCUAACUACGUGCCAGCAGCCGCGGUAAUACGUAGGGGGCAAGCGUUAUCCGGAUUUACUGGGUGUAAAGGGAGCGCAGGCGGCGUGGCAAGUCAGAUGUGAAAACCCGGGGCCCAACCCCGGGAGUGCAUUUGAAACUGCCAUGCUGGAGUGCCGGAGAGGUAAGCGGAAUUCCUAGUGUAGCGGUGAAAUGCGUAGAUAUUAGGAGGAACACCAGUGGCGGAGGCGGCUUACUGGACGGUAACUGACGCUGAGGCUCGAAAGCGUGGGGAGCAAACAGGAUUAGAUACCCUGGUAGUCCACGCCGUAAACG
rnacentral:rRNA from 1 species